rnacentral:misc_RNA from 1 species
GAUGAAGAACGCAGCGAACUGCGAUAAGUAAUGUGAAUUGCAGAAUUCAGUGAAUCAUCGAGUCUUUGAACGCACAUUGCGCCCCCUGGCAUUCCGGGGGGCAUGCCUGUCCGAGCAUCAUUGCUGCCCUUCAAGCCCGGCUUGUGUGUUGGGUCGUCGUCCCCCCCGGGGGACGGGCCCGAAAGGCAGCGGCGGCACCGCGUCCGGUCCUCGAGCGUAUGGGGCUUUGUCACCCGCUCGAUUAGGGCCGGCCGGGCGCCAGCCGGCGUCUCCAACCUUCUAUUUUACCAGGUUGACCUCGGAUCAGGUAGGGAUACCCGCUGAACUUAAGCAUAUCAAUAAGCGGAGGA